rnacentral:rRNA from 1 species
UAGGGAAUCUUCGGCAAUGGACGAAAGUCUGACCGAGCAACGCCGCGUGAGUGAAGAAGGUUUUCGGAUCGUAAAACUCUGUUGUUAGAGAAGAACAAGGACGUUAGUAACUGAACGUCCCCUGACGGUAUCUAACCAGAAAGCCACGGCUAACUACGUGCCAGCAGCCGCGGUAAUACGUAGGUGGCAAGCGUUGUCCGGAUUUAUUGGGCGUAAAGCGAGCGCAGGCGGUUUCUUAAGUCUGAUGUGAAAGCCCCCGGCUCAACCGGGGAGGGUCAUUGGAAACUGGGAGACUUGAGUGCAGAAGAGGAGAGUGGAAUUCCAUGUGUAGCGGUGAAAUGCGUAGAUAUAUGGAGGAACACCAGUGGCGAAGGCGGCUCUCUGGUCUGUAACUGACCCUGAGGCUCGAAAGCGUGGGGAGCAAACAGG